AGGAUGAGUUCACAUUAAAGCAUGCUGAUCUCUCAGCUUUCGGAGAGAAAAAUGGGGAUGUCAAACUGCAACCACAAAAAUCCAAGUCUCCUGUUCCUCACUAUCCAGCAAAGGACACUUCUGCAGCGGGUCUGAAGUCUCUACAGGGUCCUGCACUGAUCGACUCAAAGAAUUUCCCUAAAGACCCAUUUCUGAAUGGAGAUGUGGGCUUUCAGGUCUGGCGUGAGAGUGUGGAUGAAGAGGACAGAAACACAGAGGAGCUCAGCGUACACACUCAUGAACAGGUAUAAGAAACACUAAUGAUUACUACAGCAUUUCUUCAUGAUGGCAUCAUUUACUGAGUGGAUGUGUGUCUCGCUGUCUGUGCGUGCCUGUCUGUGUGUGUGUGUGUGCGUGUGUCCAGCAGAAGCUGAAGAAGAAGGUGUCAGUGAAGUUUGUUCCUCAGAGAGGUUUCGUCAUCGGUCGCUCCAGAAUUGAGAAGAUUAAUAAGGAAAAGAGGGAAGAAAACCCACAUGUUGAGGUAUUUUCACAAUAGAGUGCUUCAG